rnacentral:rRNA from 1 species
GAUGAACGUUAGCGAUAGGCUUAACACAUGCAAGUCGAGGGGCAGCAUGGUCUUAGCUUGCUAAGACUGAUGGCGACCGGCGCACGGGUGCGUAACGCGUAUGCAACUUGCCUCACAGAGGGGGAUAACCCGUCGAAAGACGGACUAAUACCGCGUACACUCCAUCUUGGGCAUCCAAGGUAGAGGAAAUGAAAUUCGCUGUGAGAUAGGCAUGCGUCCCAUUAGCUAGUUGGUGAGGUAACGGCUCACCAAGGCGACGAUGGGUAGGGGAACUGAGAGGUUGAACCCCCACACUGGUACUGAGACACGGACCAGACUCCUACGGGAGGCAGCAGUGAGGAAUAUUGGUCAAUGGGCGAGAGCCUGAACCAGCCAAGUCGCGUGAAGGAUGACUGUCUUAUGGAUUGUAAACUUCUUUUAUACGGGAAUAACAAGAGUCACGUGUGACUCCCUGCAUGUACCGUAUGAAUAAGCAUCGGCUAACUCCGUG